rnacentral:lncRNA from 1 species
CGCUGUCGUUACAAAGUACUACCUUGAACCCUUAAGAAAUUGAAGACGUUGUAAACCAUAAACGACUCAAUUGUUCAAAGAACGUCGUCUAAAUAUCCUUUUACGUCGGAUUUGUUUAAAACGAAACAACAAAAAACAACGGUUUUUGACUUUAUUAGGUCGUUGGAAAAGUAUUACACGUCGGUUACGCAAUUUGUAUGUUUGUUUUUUUUUUUUUUAAUUUAAGAAAACCUCA